rnacentral:lncRNA from 1 species
UGGUGUAUCUACUUAAGACUUCUGCUUGUAAAAGAAAAUAUAUGUUUUUUAAUUGUAGGCACCCAUUAAUCGUGUUUUACCAUCUAAUUGCCUGUCUGUUGAUACCCAUAAUUUUAAAUAUAUUGUGCAUCCCUAUAAUGAAGGAAGAGAAGCAGAAGCUGUAAGUCCCUCACAAAAAAUAAAGGAAAUCCUAGAAAAAUACCA